rnacentral:rRNA from 1 species
CCUACGGGGGGCAGCAGUAGGGAAUCUUCCGCAAUGGACGAAAGUCUGACGGAGCAACGCCGCGUGAGCGAAGAAGGUCUUCGGAUCGUAAAGCUCUGUUGUUAGGGAAGAACAAGUACGGGAGGAAAUGACCGUACCUUGACGGUACCUAACGAGGAAGCCACGUCUAACUACGUGCCAGCAUCCGCGGUAAUACGUAGGUGGCAAGCGUUGUCCGGAAUUAUUGGGCGUAAAGCGCGCGCAGGCGGUCUUUUAAGUCUGUUGUGAAAGCUUGCGGCUCACACGCAAGCGGUCAUUGGAAAGUGGGAGACUGAGGGGCAGAAGAGGAAAGGGGAAUUCCACGUGUAGCGGUGAAAUGCGUAGAGAUGUGGAGGAACACCAGUGGCGAAGGCGGCUUUCUGGUCUGUAACUGACGCUGAGGCGCGAAAGCGUGGGGAGCAAACAGGAUUAGAUACCCCGGUAGUC